rnacentral:rRNA from 1 species
GAUGAACGCUGGCGGCGUGCCUAAUACAUGCAAGUCGAGCGAACAGACGAGGAGCUUGCUCCUCUGACGUUAGCGGCGGACGGGUGAGUAACACGUGGAUAACCUACCUAUCAGACUGGGAUAACUUCGGGAAACCGGAGCUAAUACCGGAUAAUAUCUUGAACCGCAUGGUUCAAUAGUGAAAGACGGUUUUGCUGUCACUUAUAGAUGGAUCCGCGCCGCAUUAGCUAGUUGGUAAGGUCACGGGUUACCAAGGCGACCAUGCGUGAGCGACCUGAGAGGGUGGUCGGCCACCCUGGAACGUAGACACGGACCAGACGCCUACGGGAGGCAGCAGUAGGGAAUCUUCGGCAGUGGGCGGAGGCCUUACGGAGCAACGCCGCGUGUGUGAUGAAGGUCUUCGGAUCGUAAAACUCUGUUAUUAGGGAAGAACAGAUGUGUAAGGAACUAUGCACGGCUUGACGGUACCUGAUCAGAAAGCCACGGCUAACUACGUG